AUGAUAUCGAAAGCUCACCAUGGCAAAAUCACAACUUUGAAGGUUGGGUUAUUUUUAAAUGGACUGGUUUUGACAACAUUUGAAGCACGGUUGGGAUUAUUGCAGCAAGGCUGGUUCGACAAUUUGUUGGAACUGUUAGAAAUAGGUGAGAAAUUAGAAGUGAAAUUGUUUAGAUCUGUUGAUGUGUAUAGGGCAGGUCUCUGUUUGGAUUUUAUGGUGCAGGGAUGA